UACGUAGGGGGCUAGCGUUGUCCGGAAUCAUUGGGCGUAAAGCGCGCGUAGGCGGUCUGUUACGUCUGCUGUGAAAACCCGGGGCUUAACCCUGGGCUUGCAGUGGAUACGGGCAGACUAGAGGCAGGUAGGGGAGAAUGGAAUUCCCGGUGUAGCGGUGAAAUGCGCAGAUAUCGGGAGGAACACCGGUGGCGAAGGCGGUUCUCUGGGCCUGACCUGACGCUGAGGAGCGAAAGCGUGGGGAGCGAACAGG
rnacentral:rRNA from 1 species